rnacentral:rRNA from 1 species
AAGCGGAGGAAAAGAAACUAACAAGGAUUCCCCUAGUAACGGCGAGUGAAGCGGGAAGAGCUCAAAUUUGAAAUCUAGUAGCCUUCGGCUGCUCGAGUUGUAAUCUAGAGAAGUGUUUUCCGUGCCGGCCCAUGUACAAGUCCCUUGGAACAGGGCGUCAUAGAGGGUGAGAAUCCCGUCCUUGACAUGGACCCCCGGUGCUCUGUGAUACACUUUCAACGAGUCGAGUUGUUUGGGAAUGCAGCUCAAAAUGGGUGGUGAAUUCCAUCUAAAGCUAAAUAUUGGCGAGAGACCGAUAGCGAACAAGUACCGUGAGGGAAAGAUGAAAAGCACUUUGGAAAGAGAGUUAAACAGUACGUGAAAUUGUUGAAAGGGAAACGAUUGAAGUCAGUCAUGCUCUUUGGUAUUUAUAUCAUUGAGUGGGGUCAACAUCAGUUUUGAUCGAUGGAUAAAGGCACUAGGAAGGUAGCACUCUCGGGUGAACUUAUAGCCUAGCGUCAUAUACAUUGAUUGGGACUGAGGAACGCAGCAUGCCUUUAUGGCCGGGAUUCGUCCACGUACAUGCUUAGGAUGUUGACAUAAUGGCUUUAAACGACCCGUCU